rnacentral:rRNA from 1 species
UGGGGAAUAUUGGACAAUGGAGGAAACUCUGAUCCAGCAAUUCUGUGUGUGUGAAGAAGGUUUUAGGACUGUAAAACACUUUUAGUAGGGAAGAAAAAAAUGACGGUACCUACAGAAGAAGCAACGGCUAAAUACGUGCCAGCAGCCGCGGUAAUACGUAGGGGGCUAGCGUUGUCCGGAAUCACUGGGCGUAAAGGGUUCGCAGGCGGAAAUGCAAGUCAGGUGUAAAAGGCAGUAGCUUAACUACUGUAAGCAUUUGAAACUGCAUAUCUUGAGAAGAGUAGAGGUAAGUGGAAUUUUUAGUGUAGCGGUGAAAUGCGUAGAUAUUAAAAAGAAUACCGGUGGCGAAGGCGACUUACUGGGCUCAUUCUGACGCUGAGGAACGAAAGCGUGGGUAGCAAACAGG